GGGUCCAAUUUCAUUCUUUUGCAUGCAGAUAGCCUGUUUUCCCAGCACCAUUUGUUGAAAGACUAUUCUUUCCUCAUUGAAAUGUCUUGGCCUACAUCGUUGUUUUUUAUGGCAUGGAAAAAACAAUGAGAAACUAAAGAAAUGGCGGAGAAAUUUCUUGAUGAGGCCCAGACAGUAAUAAUGAUUCAUGAUAGCUACAUUAUAUUGUGCCUGUUACAAGCAUUAUCUCAUUGAAGCCUCACAAAAACUCUAUGAGGUACAUAAUGCUUAUUCCCGUUUUACAGAUGAAGAAAUCAAGGCUGAAAGAGGUUAAGAAGCUUGCCCAAAGGGCCAUUGCUAAUAACUAGUGGUGCUGGGCUUUGCAUCCUGGCCAAUCUGACUUCAGAACUGCUAUGAACAAUUAUUGGCUCAUACCGGAAAUAACAAUGGCAGCUAAUUAUGUGUCAAUCACUAUUCGAAGCACAUUACUAACUCAUUUUAUUCCUGCAAUAACCAAAUUCCUGUAAUACUUUUAUACCUGCAUAUGGAUGGAUAAACUAAGAAACAGGGAGAUUAAAUAACAGCCCCACCAGUAAGUGGGAGAGCUAGCAUUUGAACCCAGAGUCUUUGAUUUUUAACCACUAUUCUAUACUCUUCAAAGCUCUGUUGCAUCGGUUUUCAGUUUCUAACUGCAGCUUCUCUUUUUUGGAUAGCUUUAUAAUCUAUUGAUUUGUGAUUCCCACAAACAAGUUGCUUUAAUUUUGCCGGGCUUCUUGACUCUGGGGUUGCUCACUGUAAUAGUCUUGAAGAAAUUUCCAGGAGGUAUUUUUGUCUUAAUGAGAUGAGCAGUUUUCAUAAUGCUGAGCGUCUGCUUUUCUAAAUUAAGGAAGUUUCUUGUAAUAGCAGGGCCAUCAAUAGCCUAUAGGAAACCAACCAAUCCCCACUGUGGAUUUCAUUUAAGGUAAGACGGAUGACUUUCACCCUUUAGGCCUGUGUCUCCCUGUUCAUGGCCUACACAAAUGUCAUAAAUGCUGCAGUUCAAAAGGAUGACUGGUACUAUGCACUCCUUUUUCACUGUUGCUUUUGAAUCAUGAAAUGUCAGGGUUCGUUUAUUCCACUUGUUCUUUUUUCAGAUUAAAAAAACUGAGUCCUUCAAAGAUUAUGAGAUUUGCCCAGGACUUCUGAUCCAGGUCCAGUGCACUGCCUGGUCCUCAGGCUACCUCUUGGUGAUGUCGGUAUAUUUGCUUUUGUUUUCUUACGGGUGAACUGUCCCCAGGUGUCUGCUGCUAAUAUCUUAAAUGGUGGAAUGCAAAAUGAUACAAUGCUUUUCAGCCGUUUCAUUGUGAAUUUACUCCAGAUAGUUUUUGUUUAAUCAGAACAAUAUUUCCUAGGUUGCCAGGCAACACGGUGAUGCAGUUUCAGGCUUUGCUGCCAGCCAAUGAAAUAGAAAGGGCUUUGUCUUUUGCUUUCAGAAUGAACUUCUUCUUCUCUUGCACUCUUUCUAGAUUUCUGUUCACUUUGUGUUGAGGUCAAAGAGUCAAAUAGGCAUGAAGAAAAAAGUGUAAAAGCUAACUGAAGAGCAAAUGAGCAUCCUUCUUUCUGGUUCUUAUACCUGGAUGAAUGUUUAGUGUGGACAUUCCAUUUAUGUGUGACCCUGGGUUAGGUGGGAAGGUUGGCCUCUUGGAGAGUUACAUUAAGACUCGACAUAGGCCUGGCCAAUUGAGGGAGGAAAAGCAGUUAAGUAAGAUGAAAUUAAAAGGUUGCAGCCACAGAGUAAUUCAUUCAGGUAAAAAAUGCACCCAUCUAAGGAAGGGCUACUGUGAGCUUUGGAGUAGAAGGCAGGAAAUGAUCGGGUACAAGUAAAUUACAAAUUCAAAAUGGAGUAAAUUGGGUUGUACUCUUCCAUCACAGCUUUUCAACAUGGUUUGAACCCAUUCAGUUUUGUCAAUGGAAAUGGGAGGAUGGCAAUCUUGGAGAACACUGAAGAAAAUAAAUGAACGAUUUGUGAUUAGAAGAGAGACUAGAAGAAAUAGUUUUGUUAAUUAAUUGGGCUGAGCCAGAGUGCUUCUUGUUACCCAUCCAUACAUUUUCAAGCAUUCCAAUUCCAUUGCUGCCAUUUGUGUUACGUGUUGCUUUCUCUCCCAUCACCUCAUGCCUCUGGUGACCUCUGCUUCUCCUUCUAGGGAAAGGCUGAAGAAUCCCUCCACUCCUUUUCACCAGGAAGCUCAUUCACGUGUGCUGGUAUUGUGGCCUCUGGGAAAGGAACAAAAUACUGUCCAAUGGACCAAGCAGUUCUGAUGUGGCGACUCUAGUUCUGGCCUGAGCACCCUCACUCACAGGCCAUGUGAUUAAAUCCAAGAUACUUGCUCAUCCAUCAUGCAGAAAACUCAUGGAGAUCAGACAGUUUGCCUCCCACCUGGUCUUGAUCCACAGAGCACUUCUUAAGACCCUUCCCGGACCCACGUCUCCAUCUGAAGUCUGUUUCCCGGGAACCUGAUCUGCAGCCUUGAAGAAGUGAAUCUAAGCAGAUGCUCUGAGAGGACAGAGGCAAACUGGAUUCUUCUUUUCUAGGAAGAUUGGUGGUCAGAAUUUAUCCCAUCAGUGAGGCAGGUGAAGGUGUUCUCUGGGACUUUGAUGCCUGGCCAAGUCCCCAGAGUAUGGGCUUUGAUAUCAAACAGACCUGAGUUUGAAUAUCAUCUCUGUUACUUAUCAACUCUGAGAUUGUGAGAAAGUCACGUCAUCUCAGGUGCCUCAGCUGUAAAACAGGAAGUCAUACUUACCUUGCAGUUACAUUCACUGUCCAGUCAUACUUACCUCCCCAUACCUACAUUGUGGGACAAACAAAAUGGCUGUUCUUGCUGUAAUUCCUAGUGUUUGGUGCAUAGAAUGGUCCUCAGGGAGUGUUGACGAAUGAUCAGCGAACAACACUGAUGGUAGAUGUCCUUCAGGGCGGUAUUGGCAGUAAUCCAAAUGGCUUUGGAAUUUAAGGAAAGAAGUAUAAAGAAUAAAAGGAAAAUAUAUCAUGGUGGAAAGAGAAGGUUAUUGCUGCCAAGACCAAGAUGAGUAGACUGAUCCAAACGACACAAAUUCAAUUCCUGAAAGAUAUCCUAGCAAGUCAAUUCAAUUAAGAACAUUUUAAAGCAUCUGCUAUGAAUGAGAUACUGAGGGAAGACCCAACAUGAUGACCAUUUUCUGGAGGACCCUACUUAUAACUCUGUUAGUGUCUUAAAGAAUUUAUUUUAUGAGAAAAGAGCCUAUAUAAUCAUUAAAUAUAGUCACGGCAUGGAAUGGGUGCUCAAAAAAUAUUUACUGAAUGAAGUAUAUUAUGUGAGACACUUCAAGUUGUUAAGUGUCUCAGGGCUAGUAGAAUUUGUACUGUGUAAGAAUGAGAUAUUUUAAAACAAAGACGAUAUGUCACAGAGGUUAGCCAAAUGAAAAAGUGGAAACUAACUGAGAAAGACCGAAGCACUUAAUCCAGCAACAUUCUGAAGAGUAAAGGGACUCAGUGAGAGGUGGGAGGGUACAAGAUAGGGAACUUGAGAGUUCUGAAUGGAUUUAACCCUUCUCAUCUGUGCUCACAAGAGGAGCUGCCAGAAUGCCAAAAACAAACCAGGGACAAUCUCUAAAGGAUUCCGAAUUUGUCUUUGAGUGUUUUAUAGGAUGAUUCUUUUGGUUCAUAUCUAUUGUCCUGGUUAUAUUGGUUCCAAUGUUGCAUUCCCCGAGCACAAACCAGCUAGUAGUAAGAGAUGAGGGCCAGCUAUGUGUUGGGGAACCUUUCCUCCCUGGGAUUAAAAUUGUGGACAUAUAUAAUCCACAGAUUGGGUAGACAGAGCCGAGAGGAAGUUAGUCAUCCUGGAUAUCUGAGUUUUCCAGAUCCCAGGUGAAACUUUACCCCAGAGAUCAUAAGCUCAAAUGCCCAUGUUGUGAGGCAGGUCAGGUAAAUGAGGAAAGCAGUCUGUGUAUAAAGGAAAAAAGAACGGUGGAUGUGCCCUUCCAUAACUAUGGUUCAUCCAUACCAUGGACCACGACACAGCUAUGGAAAGAAACCAAGUAUUGAUACACUCGAUGACUUGCACGAAUCUCGAGGGGAUUAUGAUGAGUGAAAAAACCCAAUCCUAAAAGACUACACACUAUAUGAUUCCAUUUAUAUCACAUCCUUGAAAUGACAAAAUUAUAGAAAUGGAGACCAGAUGAGAGUUUACCAAGGGGUCAGGGAUGGGGGUUGUAAUGGGAUGGGGGUGGGCUCAUGAGGGAUCCUCGUGGUGAUUGAACUGACUCUAUCAACGUCAAGGGUUAUGGUGUGGUACUAGAGUUUUGCAAGAUGUUACCAUUCGGGGAGAUGGGAAAAGGAACACAAGAUCUCUCUGUAUUAUUUUUUACAAUUGCAUGUGAACUUACAAUUAUCUUCAAAUAAAAAUUCAAUUGAAAAAAGGAAUGGUGGGGACUGCAGUGAACUAGAGAGCACAUGGCUCUUUUGAAGGGCAACAAAAUAAAAAAAAAGUUGCCAUACAGUGCAGACCCCAAAUAACAAGCACCUCCCCCCAGACUACCCAACCAGCCAACCGACCAAGAAAUAAAAAUGUGUAAUCCCUGGUCUAUUCACUUAAGUGCUCAAAAAAACUUUAAAAAUUGUAACCAUUUUAGAUGUAAGUCUUUAAAAAAUCUAUUACAUAUUCCUCUGCCUUCUUAAACAUAGUAUACUGAAAAUAGGGAAAUAAUCUCACCUGUUCCUGGAAGCAGGAUGCCUUCAUCUGACAGUCAUAGAUAACCUGCUGGAAAAGGCUUAAACCCCGUGAAAAUGGGAUGUGUUUGCAUGAGAAGAAGUUGGGGCAGAGGGUCAGAGAGUUUAGGGCUCUUUCAAAGUUAUUACGCAGAACCGAGCUGCUGUGCUUUGUAAGGUUUAUGAUUGCGUUUAGGGUCUUCCUGUCUUUUUUACUGUCGGGCUCAUAGUAAUGUUUUCUCGAUACUGUCAGCAUGCCAGCUUGCAGUCAACUCUCAUUUCCUUCUAAUUUAUUGUGUGCUUGCAAAGUGGGUAACAAAAUGUAUUGGCACGUGUGUGUGUGUGUGUGAGUAGACAGGGAAUCUGGGGGAAUCUGAGUAGUCACACUUUUGUAUGUAGUCUUUUUAACAUCUAUUUUGACUCCUCAAAGGCCUUAUUGGUUCCAAAUAGUCAAGACAUCUGAGAAACUGCAUUUUGAAAAGGUAAAAUGAAACUUAAAAAUGGAAACUGCAUGUUGCUUUGCUUAUUUCAGACUGACCAGAAUAAUGUUUCUGAGAGGUGGCUUGUAAGAGGGUUAAGAACCUAGACUUUGCAGCCAGACUGUCUAGUUCAAAUCCUGGCUCUACCACAUACUAGCUGUGUGACUUUGGGCAAGUUACAUAACUGCU